GUGCCAGCAGCCGCGGUAAUACGGAGGAUACGAGCGUUAUCCGGAUUUAUUGGGUUUAAAGGGUGCGUAGGCGGUUAGUUAGGUCUAUGGUGAAAUCGUUGUGCUCAACACAAUUCAGCUUUAGAAACCGAUUAACUAGAAUGUAAGUGGCGCAGGCGGAAUAAAGCAUGUAGAGGUGACAUUCAUAGAUAUGCUUUAGAACACCGAUCGCGAAGGCGGCUUGCGAGGGUACGAUUGACGCUAAUGCACGAAAGCGUGGGUAUCGAACAGAAUUAGAUACUCUGGUAGUCCACGCUGUAAACGAUGAUAACUAUAUGUCGGCGAUAGACAGUCGGUGUAGCAGCGAAAGCGGUAAGUUAUCCACCUGGGGAGUACGAUCGCAAGGUUGAAACUCAAAGGAAUUGACGGGGGCCCGCACAAGCGGAGGAGCAUGUGGUUUAAUUCGAUGAUACGCGAGGAACCUUACCCGGGCUUGAACGUGAGAUGGAUAUGUAAGAGAUUACAUAGUUAGCAAUAACGUCUUGCGAGGUGCUGCAUGGUUGUCGUCAGCUCGUGCCGUGAGGUGUCAGGUUAAGUCCUAUAACGAGCGCAACCCUUGUCAUUAGUUACCAGCAUGUGAAGGUGGGGACUCUAAUGAUACUGCCGGCGUAAGCCGAGAGGAAGGGGGGGAUGACGUCAAAUCAGCACGGCCCUUACGUCCGGGGCGACACACGUGCUACAAUGGCCAUUACAGAGGGCAGUUACUUGGUGACAAGAUACGAAUCUCAAAAGGUGGUCUUAGUACGGAUUGGAGUCUGCAACUCGACUCCAUGAAGUUGGAUUCGCUAGUAAUCGCAGAUCAGCCAUGCUGCGGUGAAUACGUUCCCGGGCCUUGUACACACCGCCCGA
rnacentral:rRNA from 1 species